rnacentral:rRNA from 1 species
GAUGAACGCUAGCUACAGGCUUAACACAUGCAAGUCGAGGGGCAACAUGGAGUCAGCUUGCUGACUUUGAUGGCGACCGGCGCACGGGUGCGUAACGCGUAUCCAACCUUCCCCCUGCCAGGGAACAGCCCGUUGAAAGACGGAUUAAUGCCCUAUGUUGUGCGAAGAUGGCAUCAGAUUUGCACGAAAGAUUUUAUCGGCAUGGGAUGGGGAUGCGUAGGAUUAGGUAGUCGGCGGGGUAACGGCCCACCGAGCCUUCGAUCCUUAGGGGUUCUGAGAGGAAGGUCCCCUACACUGGUACUGAGACACGGACCAGACUCC